UUUUUCCCUUCCUUGCUACAUGAGAAAAGAAGAACAAAAGCUGCGGCUAUGUGUUCCAGGCCGACUGCACUCUCAGUCUAAUUUCUCUUUCUUCUCCCUGUCCAUUGAAAAGGGAAAAGGUUUUUGUGGUUUUCUGGAGAAAUAAAGAACUUCUUAGAGAGGUCGGCCGACGUGACUUUGAACUUGGAUCAGAUCCUGUGUUUCCUGUGGAGAGGGUAGAAAUAGUCUUAGAAGAAUGGUACAUAACGUUCAAACAGCAUGGCUUUGAGCUGAGGCACACAGAAUUCCCAAAGUUUUAUACAUCCUCCGCCCUAUUAUUUACAGCUUAAAGCGUUCGGAGGAGAGGAAAGACAAGACAAAGUGUGUUGUGCGUUGGAACAAGACUUCAUGGGACUAUAGGUUCAAUUAAAUUGCAGCAGAAGGUGUCACCUUCAUCGGACCUGACACACAUGCUACUCAAACCAUGGGAGACAAGAUCAGGGGCAAAUUAAUCGCCAAGAUGCCAAGGUCAGUGUUGUGCCCCUAUACGCGUGGGCUGGUCAAGGUGAGCAGCAGACACGCGUCUAUUCUUUCAGCCACCUCAAAUGACUCAUCUCACGUCUGUCAUACCGUCACGAGGGCAUCAACACUGAUGUGUGUGUUUAUAAAGACUCGGUGUUGUCAGUGAGCUGUCAGCUCUGGGAAUAACAAAUCAGGUAUUUUUUUAUGUGUUGCCACUGUGGCAAAAUCUUACCUCGGAAUGCGAUCCAGGAACUUGUUGUUUGUGGAUGGAAAUGUGUGCGUGUAGUAGGAAGGGCCGUUGCUAAUGAGGGAUGUUUUGAAAACAUUUAGAGCCCUAAUGAUGCUGCUGCAAGAGCAAAGCCUUUUCCGGGGGCUGUGAUUUAAGAUGGUUCGAGGCUGUGGAAAAAUUGUUUCACCCAAUUUAAUUCUUGCAUUCCUGUUGUUAAAAUAUUGGGGUUAGAGGCUAACACAAAGAUGAGGAGGUGAACAACCGUGCCGUAUGCAUGUGUUUUUAAAGUAAAGAGUAUUAAAGCUCCUUCAAUAGCAGCCCGAGCGAUUUCUCACUUCUCCAUUUUGUCUCGAGAGCACUUAAUUGUCUGCAUUUGGCAAGUUUAACACUUCCUGACUUGAGUGGCCUCACUUGAAUGUCUUUGCAUAGCUUUUGGGGACAAAAGAAAGGCCUAGAUGCAGAAAACACACACACACACACACACACACACACACACACACAAGCAUGCAAAUAUAUAAAAAAAUCCAUAGUGACCGAAUUAAACAUGCCAAGAGAAAAUUUCCCACCGAGAAAUUUUGAGAUUUUAGCUGCGCCUAGUUCUGUCCGCCAGCCAAUUUUCCAUCAGGAAUCUCUCAUUAGCAGAUGUUUUUGGCCACAACACACACACACCUCAGUGUGAUCUGGUGAACCCUAAAUUUAACAAGCGCUUAGCAGAGCAGACGAGUUAAUGAAAGGAAAUGACCUUUUCUGCCAAUUUCCCCCUUCCAUUCAGGUGCUUUUUUAUGUUGCGAUUUAAAAUGACAGAUAUUUUUAUUUUGUUCUAAAUAAACUGAUACAUCUUUCCUACGUUUCAUUAUUUCUGGGAAGCGCACGAGUCCGGUAUUAACUGCAGUCAGAUGGUAACAUUUACAUCUUGCUUGACCUGCUUUCCAAGACUUAUUGCCCACUUUAACGUUUUAAAGAGGUGUCUGAUACUGAAAUUUUUUUUUCAUUUCACUUUCAUGUACAUCCUUUUUUAACAAUACAGCUUUUGAGUUGCUAAUAUCAUUAGUAAGUGUCCUUGAUUGAUUACUGUUCACAGUCCUGGUGUCUAUUCUCAACUUAAACUGCAAUCUGUUUGCUUACUCAUUUUAGUAGACGACGAUACAGGAUGAAGUUUAUUUACACCGCUGUCAGCUGUUCCCUUCAUAGCAACAAAGCCGAUGAUUUCCACAUAAGAGCAGUGAGGAGACUCGGGUAGACGGCCCCUCCAGAGCCCGCUGAAGUGAAGCCGUAGUUGGGUAUGUUGGCUGGUCUCGCCCGGCAGCCCCACAGCAGGUUUGAAGCCUCUUCUAUCUCUGCUUCCAAUCAAUAGAAGAGCUGCUCCCCCUGCUGCCUGUCCCACGCUACAACUUCCUCUUCCCUCACCUCUUCCAAUGGCACACAUCACACCUCACAUUUUCUCUACUUUAUCCCUAUUUCUCUCUCUCUCUCCGCAGUGAAGCAGUGACGAUGGUACCUGUUUGGCAGUGGCUGACAUGAGCAGAGGUCUGUCAAGGAGGGCUGUUAGGCUAGUGGCGAGAUGGAAACCCAUCUGGGAGGCCUUUGGAUGCAGCUUGUGAUGUGAAGGUUUUUGGGAGCCCUUCGUCUCUCUUGGCAGCAGUUGAUUGUGACGGCACGUUUUUGCACACAUCCAAGAACCUUCUGUCCUAUCUACUGAUACCUCGAUCUGGUCUCCCUCAGCCAUCUUGUUCCUCAUAAAUUUUUCACCAUGCUGUGAUCAAAGCUCACCACUGUAUUUGUGUUCUGUUGUAAUGGCCAAGGAUGUAACAUGAAAUUGUAAAUUACGAUCCAUCCUAUAUCAGGCCAAGUGUUGACAUGGUUUUUUCUGUGUGGGUUUUUAACGUGAUUGAUUUAUGUUGUUUAGAUGGGCAGGAAGGUGCAGGAAUGUUUGGUGCUGUAGGCGCGUCAGUGGGUGACCCGCUUUUAUGUGCCGUGCACUUGUCUCAAUAGUGCAGCCAGGCCAUGCUCGUC